GAUGAACGCUGGCGGCGUGCCUAAUACAUGCAAGUCGAGCGAACAGACGAGGAGCUUGCUCCUCUGACGUUAGCGGCGGACGGGUGAGUAACACGUGGAUAACCUACCUAUAAGACUGGGAUAACUUCGGGAAACCGGAGCUAAUACCGGAUAAUAUAUUGAACCGCAUGGUUCAAUAGUGAAAGACGGUUUUGCUGUCACUUAUAGAUGGAUCCGCGCCGCAUUAGCUAGUUGGUAAGGUAACGGCUUACCAAGGCAACGAUGCGUAGCCGACCUGAGAGGGUGAUCGGCCACACUGGAACUGAGACACGGUCCAGACUCCUACGGGAGGCAGCAGUAGGGAAUCUUCCGCAAUGGGCGAAAGCUUGACGGAGCAACGCCGCGUGAGUGAUGAAGGUCUUCGGAUCGUAAAACUCUGUUAUUAGGGAAGAACAAAUGUGUAGGUAACUAUGCACGUCUUGACGGUACCCAAUCAGAAAGCCACGGCUAACUACGUG
rnacentral:rRNA from 1 species